UUUGAUUCCUGGCUCAGGACCGAACGCUGGCGGCGUGCCUAACACAUGCAAGUCGAACGAGGUCCAUCCAGUGGCAACACUGGGGACGACCUAGUGGCGAACGGGUGAGUAACACGUGAGGAACUUGCCCCGGAGACCGGGAUAGCCCUCCGAAAGGAGGGCUAAUACCGGAUGUCCCCACCGAGUCGCAUGGCUUGGUGAGGAAAUGGAUUCCGCUCCGGGAGAGCCUCGCGGCCUAUCAGCUAGUUGGUGGGGUAACGGCCCACCAAGGCAUCGACGGGUAGCUGGUCUGAGAGGACGAUCAGCCACACUGGGACUGAGACACGGCCCAGACUCCUACGGGAGGCAGCAGUGGGGAAUCUUGCGCAAUGGGCGAAAGCCUGACGCAGCAACGCCGCGUGCGGGAUGAAGGCCCUCGGGUUGUAAACCGCUUUCAGUGGGGACGAACCAAGACGGUACCCACAGAAGAAGCCCCGGCCAACUACGCGCCAGCAGCCGCGGUAACACGUAGGGGGCGAGCGUUGUCCGGAUUCAUUGGGCGUAAAGAGCUCGUAGGCGGUUCGGUAAGUCGGGUGUGAAACCUCCGGGCUCAACCUGGAGACGCCACCCGAUACUGCUGUGACUAGAGUCCAGUAGGGGAGCGUGGAGUUCCUGGUGUAGCGGUGAAAUGCGCAGAUAUCAGGAGGAACACCAGUGGCGAAGGCGGCGCUCUGGGCUGGAACCGACGCUGAGGAGCGAAAGCGUGGGGAGCGAACAGGAUUAGAUACCCUGGUAGUCCACGCCGUAAACGUUGGGUACUAGGUGUGGGGUCUUAUCAACGGAUUCCGUGCCGAAGCUAACGCAUUAAGUACCCCGCCUGGGGAGUACGGCCGCAAGGCUAAAACUCAAAGGAAUUGACGG
rnacentral:rRNA from 1 species